rnacentral:rRNA from 1 species
GACGAACGCUGGCGGCGUGCCUAAUACAUGCAAGUCGAGCGAAUCUUUAGGAGCUUGCUCCUGAAGAUUAGCGGCGGACGGGUGAGUAACACGUGGGCAACCUGCCUGUAAGACUGGGAUAACACCGGGAAACCGGUGCUAAUACCGGAUAAUCCUUUUCCUCUCAUGAGGAAAAGCUGAAAGUCGGUUUCGGCUGACACUUACAGAUGGGCCCGCGGCGCAUUAGCUAGUUGGUGAGGUAACGGCUCACCAAGGCGACGAUGCGUAGCCGACCUGAGAGGGUGAUCGGCCACACUGGAACUGAGACACGGCCCAGACUCCUACGGGAGGCAGCAGUAGGGAAUCUUCCACAAUGGACGAAAGUCUGAUGGAGCAACGCCGCGUGAGUGAUGAAGGCCUUCGGGUCGUAAAGCUCUGUUGUUAGGGAAGAACAAGUAUCGGAGUAACUGCCGGUACCUUGACGGUACCUAACCAGAAAGCCACGGCUAACUACGUGCCAGCAC